AAGAGAAAAUAGAAGAAGAGAGCUGUGUUUUAAGAGUGAAAACUGACGGGAGAAGAGAAGAAAAAGGGGAGGAAGAAGAAGAGAAAAGAGGGAAAGAUAAGGAAAAGAGAAGAGAAUUGGAGGAAAUAAGUUUAAAGGUUCUCCUAACGAUCCUCAAUAGGAUUUUCGGGUCUUUCGUCUGACAUUCCUUUUAGUUCUAUAUUUUCCGGGUUCUUAGUUUCUGAUAGCAGGUGAACCUUGUUGAGUGUUCCUGCUUCUUCAGUUUUUGGUCAGUAUGCCUUGCUUAUCUUUCAAGGCUGUUUGAUUCGAUGUCUUAGGCGCUCCACUAUUACCUUGUUUUGAUUAAGUUUGGAUUUUGACAAUGUAAUGAGUAUUAUGGAUUAUUGUUUUUGUUUUAAUUACUGAUGAAGAGUUUUAAACUAUCUUUUGGUUUCAUCAGUUUUGAAUAAUAUAAGAUUUCUGAAGAUUAUGAAAUGCUGCGUAUUUUUGAAUAAA